GCGUUUGUAGUACGUCAAACGGUUAGGAUAAUUGCCUUCCAAGCAAUAGACCCAAGUUUGACUCCCGACAAACGCA